rnacentral:rRNA from 1 species
AGUGAACGCUGGCGGUAGGCCUAACACAUGCAAGUCGAACGGCAGCACAGUAAGAGCUUGCUCUUACGGGUGGCGAGUGGCGGACGGGUGAGGAAUACAUCGGAAUCUACUUUUUCGUGGGGGAUAACGUAGGGAAACUUACGCUAAUACCGCAUACGACCUACGGGUGAAGGCAGGGGAUCUUCGGACCUUGCGCGAUUGAAUGAGCCGAUGUCGGAUUAGCUAGUUGGCGGGGUAAAGGCCCACCAAGGCGACGAUCCGUAGCUGGUCUGAGAGGAUGAUCAGCCACACUGGAACUGAGACACGGUCCAGACUCCUACGGGAGGCAGCAGUGGGGAAUAUUGGACAAUGGGCGCAAGCCUGAUCCAGCCAUACCGCGUGGGUGAAGAAGGCCUUCGGGUUGUGAAGCCCUUUUGUUGGGAAAGAAAAGCAGCAGGUUAAUACCCCGCUGUUCUGACGGUACCCAAAGAAUAAGCACCGGCUAACUUCGUG